AUUGAACGCUGGCGGCAGGCUUAACACAUGCAAGUCGAGCGGGGUGAUGGUGCUUGCACUAUCACCUAGCGGCGGACGGGUGAGUAAUGCUUAGGAAUCUGCCUAUUAGUGGGGGACAACAUUUCGAAAGGAAUGCUAAUACCGCAUACGUCCUACGGGAGAAAGCAGGGGAUCUUCGGACCUUGCGCUAAUAGAUGAGCCUAAGUCGGAUUAGCUAGUUGGUGGGGUAAAGGCCUACAAAGGCGACGAUCUGUAGCGGGUCUGAGCGGAUGAUCCGCCGCACUGGGACUGAGACACGGCCCAGACUCCUACGGGAGGCAGCAGGGGGGAAUAUUGGACAAUGGGCGCAAGCCUGAUCCAGCCAUGCCGCGUGUGUGAAGAAGGCCUUAUGGUUGUAAAGCACUUUAAGCGAGGAGGAGGCUACUUUAGAUAAUACCUAGAGAUAGUGGACGUUACUCGCAGAAUAAGCACCGGCUAACUCUGUGCCAGCAGCCGCGGUAAAAC
rnacentral:rRNA from 1 species